GGGGGCGAAACGGGUUCGACGGGGAUACGGAAGUUUGAGUUGCAUGCCGAGGUCUUUCUGCUCGUAAAACAGGGAGAACGUAAAUAUAGUCGCAGAUGACUAUGCAUAUGCCGUAGCUGCAUAAUUAUGCUACCGUCCUGCCGGCUGCUCCUGCGAGGCCGGGUCUGGGCGUCGUUCAGCGGGAUAGUUUCCGGGCCGCGCCUGUUGGCCCGAAGGCGAAAUUCAAGCGGGCUAGCGCCGAAAGCAC
rnacentral:tmRNA from 1 species